UGGUUCGAUCAUGGCUCAGAUUGAACGCUGGCGGGGAUGCUUACACAUGCAAGUCGAACGGCAGCACGGACUUCGGUCUGGUGGCGAGUGGCGAACGGGUGAGUAAUGUAUCGGAACGUGCCUAGUAGCGGGGGAUAAUCACGCGAAAGCGUAGCCAAUACCGCAUACGCCCUUCGGGAAAGCGGGGACCUUUCACCUGCACUAUUAGGAGCGGCCGAUAUCGGAUUAGCUAGUUGCGGGGUAAACGGUUCACCAAGGCGACGAUCCGCAGCUGGUUUGAGAGGACUGACCAGCCACACUGGGACUGAGACACGGCCCAGACUCCCACGGGAGGCAGCAGUGGGAAUUUUGAAUGGGGAAACCUGAUCCAGCCAUCCUCGCGUGUGCGAUGAAGGCCUUCGGGUUGUAAAGCACUUUUGGCAGUGAAGAAAUCGGCAUCGGAUAGCAUCCAGCAACGACGGUACCUGCAGAAUAAGCACCUUACAAUUACGCCAGCAGCUGCGGUAACAUGCAGGGGUGCAAGCGUUAAUCGGAAUCACGGUGAAAGUGGGUGCGUAGCGGUCUGAAAGAAAGAUGUGAAAUCCCAGAGCUUAACUUUGAAUCCGCAUUUUUAACUCUACUGAGCUAGAGUGUCAGAGGGAGGUGGAAUUCCGCGUGUAGCAGUGAAAUGGCGGGAUAUGUGAGGAACACCGAUGGCGAAGCUGCUUCCGGGGAUAACACCGACGCCCUAUGCACGAAAGCGUGGGGAGCAAACAGAUUAGAUACACUCCUGGUAGUCCACGCCCUAAACGAUGUCAACUAGCUGUUGGGGCCUUCGGCCUGGUAGAAAGUGGAAAUGAAUUAGUGAAGUUGACCGCCCGGGAGUACGGUCGCAAGAUUAAAACUCAAAGGAAUUGACGGGGACUCCGCACAAGCGGUGGAUGAUGUGGAUUAAUUCGAUGCAACGCGAAAACCUUACCUACCCUUGACAUGUCUGGAAUCCCGAAGAGAUUUGGGAGUGCUCGUAAGAGAACCGGAACACAGGUGCUGCAUGGCUGUCGUCAGCUCGUGUCGUGAGAUGUUGGGUUAAGUCCCGGCAACGAGCGCAACCCUUGUCAUUAGUUGCUACGAAAGGGCACUCUAAUGGUGACUGCUGGUGACAAACCGGACGAGGCGGUGGGGAUGACGUCAAGUCCUCAUGGCCCUUAUGGGUAGGGCUUCACACGUCAUACAAUGGUCGGGACAGAGGGUCGCCAACCCGCGAGGGGAGCCAAUCCCAGAAACCUCGAUCGUAGUCCGGAUCGCAGUCUGCAACUCGACUGCGUGAAGUCGGAAUCGCUAGCAAUCGCGGAUCAGCAUGUCGCGGUGAAUACGUUCCCGGGUCUUGUACACACCGCCCGUCACACCAUGGAGUGGGUUUUACCAGAAGUAGUUAGCCUAACCGCAAGGAGGGCGAUUACCACGGUAGGAUUCAUGACUGGGGUGAAGUCGUACUGUCGCAG
rnacentral:rRNA from 1 species